AUUGAACGCUGGCGGCAGGCCUAACACAUGCAAGUCGAACGAGUGGCGGACGGGUGAGUAAUGUCUGGGAAACUGCCUGAUGGAUGGGGCUCACUACUGGAAACGGUAGCUAAUACCGCAUACUAUCAGAUGUGCCCAUAUGGGAUUAGCUAGUUGGUGGGGUAAAGGCUCACCUAGGCGACGAUCUCUAGCUGGUCUGCGAGGAUGACCAGCCACACUGGAACUGAGACACGGUCCAGACUCCUACGGGAGGCAGCAGUGGGGAAUAUUGCACAAUGGGCGCAAGCCUGAUGCAGCCAUGCCGCGUGUAUGAAGAAGGCCUUAGGGUUGUAAAGUACUUUCAGCGGGGAGGCGUUACCCGCAGAAGAAGCACCGGCUAACUCCGUGCCAGCAGCCGCGGUAAUAC
rnacentral:rRNA from 1 species